rnacentral:rRNA from 1 species
CUUGCUUUCUUUAAGUUAGUGGCGGACGGGUGGAGUAACGACGUGAGCAACUUGCCUUGGACAGUGGAAUAACAACAGGGAAACUUAGUGCUAAUACCGCAUGAAGUGCGGAGAGGGCAUCCUUUCUGUACCAAAGGAAGCAAUUCCGGUCUGAGAUGGGCUCGCGUCCGAUUAGAUAGUUGGUGAGGUAACGGCCCACCAAGUCAACGAUCGGUAGCCGGACUGAGAGGUUGGCCGGCCACAUUGGGACUGAGACACGGCCCAGACUCCUACGGGAGGCAGCAGUGGGGAAUAUUAGGCAAUGGGGGCAAAACCCCCUGACCUAGCAACGCCGCGUGAAGGAUGAAGGUUUUCGGAUUGUAAACUUCUUUGGCAGGGGACGAUAAUGACGGUACCCUGAGAACAAGCCACGGCUAACUACGUGCCAGCAGCGGC